CAGACGUGGGUCUGGAGUGGAGCAGAGCCAGCAGGACUGACCAGCUUCCAGAAGUAGGACAGAGGGCCAGGGAAAUGCCCACACCCUUCUCAAGAUGUGAGCCACUUCGGAGGGCAGCAAGUAUCCUGCACGAGACUCCUGGAAGAAGCUGGCAUAUGUAAAGCUCUUAGAGGGGAUAGAGGAAGAAGUGUGGACAGAGGAUGUCUCAGGGAGUGGAGUGAACACAAGCACGGAAGAGGUGGGAGAACCCGGCAGGCUGCACUCAAUUCUCCUGCAUUUCAAGCCCUCCAUUCCUACAGAAGCAUUUAAAACCAGGCCCCUACAAGCAUGGAUGUGAAGCAGACCAGUUGCUUUCAAAUGUGCUCCGAGGAACACCAGGAGCAGCUCACAGAUUCCACAGCUCCUCUAGCCUGUGACAUAGCAGGCAUGAGAGGCAAUGACCACAUCGCAAAUAACAGCACAGUUUUGGAUCCUCAUAGACAGAGCACCCAGCUGGGAAAAUUGGCACCUGAGCUGACACCUCCACUAGCCCAGAUCUGGUUGGUUAUCUGACUCCAGAAAUGUCAAACUAAAAGGACUGCCACCACUGCUACCCACCCCAACGUCCCUACUGGCUCCCAGCCCUGCAGGACAAGGUGCUGGCCGUAUUUUCAACAGGAAAUUACUCCUGGCCUAGUGCUGGAGGUGAAGCUGAGGGGAGAGGGCCAUCUCCCACACCGUGCUGUCCAGUCAGUGCUUGGGGGUUAUCACCGUAUGUGACUUUGAACUCGAGUUUUCUACUUUUACACUGUCCCCUCUUCUGUUUAUUCUCAACAGUUCCUGAUAAAGA